rnacentral:rRNA from 1 species
UGAGCAAUCUGCCCUUCUCUUUGGAAUAAGCGUUGGAAACGACGUCUAAUGCCGAAUACGACCUCCUUUCGCAUGAUCGGAGGUGGAAAGCUCCGGCGGAGAAGGAUGAGCUCGGCGGCCUAUCAGCUAGUUGGUGUGGUAAUGGCCCACAAGGCGACGGACGGGUAGCCGGCCUGGAGGAGGGUGACCGGCCACACGUGGGACUGAGACACGGCCCAGACCUCCGUAGGGAGNAGCG